UCGAUAUUGGAGGCAUUGCCUGCCCAGUGACAACUGUUUAACGGCCGCGGUAUCCUGACCGUGCAAAGGUAGCAUAAUCAUUUGUUCUCUAAAUAAGGACUUGUAUGAAUGGCCGCACGAGGGUUUUACUGUCUCUUACUUCCAAUCAGUGAAAUUGACCUUCCCGUGAAGAGGCGGGAAUGCACAAAUAAGACGAGAAGACCCUAUGGAGCUUUAACUAACCAACCCAAAGAGAAUAGAUUUAACCAUUAAGGAAUAACAACAAUCUCCAUGAGUUGGUAGUUUCGGUUGGGGUGACCUCGGAGAAUAAAAAAUCCUCCGAGCGAUUUUAAAGACUAGACCCACAAGUCAAAUCACUCUAUCGCUCAUUGAUCCAAAAACUUGAUCAACGGAACAAGUUACCCUAGGGAUAACAGCGCAAUCCUAUUCAAGAGUCCAUAUCGACAAUAGGGUUUACGACCUCGAUGUUGGAUCAGGACAUCCUGAUGGUGCAACCGCUAUCAAAGGUUCGUUUGUUCAACGAUUAAAGUCCUACGUGAUCUGAGUUCAGACCGGA
rnacentral:rRNA from 1 species